AUACUUGCUUCAGCAGUACAUAGACUAAACUUGGAAUGAUGCAUAGAAGACUGGCAAGGCCCCUGCACAAGGAUAACAAGCAAAUUCAUGAAGCAUUUCAUAUUUUU
ensembl:snRNA U6 U6 spliceosomal RNA